UACAGAGGGGGCAAGCGUUGUUCGGAAUUACUGGGCGUAAAGGGCGCGUAGGCGGCCUUCUAAGUCGAACGUGAAAUCCCCGGGCUCAACCCGGGAACUGCGUCCGAUACUGGAAGGCUUGAAUCCGGGAGAGGGAUGCGGAAUUCCAGGUGUAGCGGUGAAAUGCGUAGAUAUCUGGAGGAACACCGGUGGCGAAGGCGGCAUCCUGGACCGGCAUUGACGCUGAGGCGCGAAACCAGGGGAGCCAAAGCGGGA
rnacentral:rRNA from 1 species